rnacentral:rRNA from 1 species
AACGAACGCUGGCGGCAGGCUUAACACAUGCAAGUCGAGCGCCCCGCAAGGGGAGCGGCAGACGGGUGAGUAACGCGUGGGAAUCUACCCAUCUCUACGGAAUAACGCAUGGAAACAUGUGCUAAUACCGUAUACGUCCUUCGGGAGAAAGAUUUAUCGGAGAUGGAUGAGCCCGCGUUGGAUUAGCUAGUUGGUGGGGUAAAGGCCUACCAAGGCGACGAUCCAUAGCUGGUCUGAGAGGAUGAUCAGCCACACUGGGACUGAGACACGGCCCAGACUCCUACGGGAGGCAGCAGUGGGGAAUAUCGGACAAUGGGCGCAAGCCUGAUCCAGCCAUGCCGCGUGAGUGAUGAAGGCCCUAGGGUUGUAAAGCUCUUUCACCGGUGAAGAUAAUGACGGUAACCGGAGAAGAGGCCCCGGCUAACUUCGUGCCAGCCGCCGCCGUAAAAC